rnacentral:ncRNA from 24 species
GGGUGUAUCGACGCAUGUCGCGCGGUGCAGGUUAAAAGUGACGCGUUGGUCGGGCCGCCAACG